GACGAACGCUGGCGGCGUGCUUAACACAUGCAAGUCGAACGAUGAACCCGGAGCUUGCUCCGGCGGAUUAGUGGCGAACGGGUGAGUAACACGUGAGUAACCUGCCCUUGACUCUGGGAUAACUGCGGGAAACUGUAGCUAAUACCGGAUACGACCCUCGGCGGCAUCGCCAGGGGGUGGAAAGAAUUUCGGUCAAGGAUGGACUCGCGGCCUAUCAGCUAGGUGGUGAGGUAACGGCUCACCAAGGCGACGACGGGUAGCCGGCCUGAGAGGGUGACCGGCCACACUGGGACUGAGACACGGCCCAGACUCCUACGGGAGGCAGCAGUGGGGAAUAUUGCACAACGGGCGGAAGCCUGAUGCAGCAACGCCGCGUGCGGGAUGACGGCCUUCGGGUUGUAAACCGCUUUCGCCUGUGACGAAGCGUGAGUGACGGUAAUGGGUAAAGAAGCACCGGCUAACUACGUGCCAGCCGCCGCCGUAA
rnacentral:rRNA from 1 species